rnacentral:snRNA from 1 species
AAACUUACUUGGCUGGGAGGCCUCUCGCGAUCAUGAAGGCGGGACCUCCAUGGUGAGGCUUGGCCAUCGCACUUUCGGUUAGGCUGACCCGUGUGGCAAUUCCAAGGUGGAAUUAGCCAACAGCAUAAUUUUUGCGUUUGGGGGUACUUGCGAGCGCCCCUG